AACGAACGCUGGCGGCAGGCUUAACACAUGCAAGUCGAACGACAUAGUGGCAGACGGGUGAGUAACGCGUGGGAACGUGCCCUUCACUACGGAAUAGCUUCUGGAAACGGAAGGUAAUACCGUAUACGCCCUUCGGGGAAAGAUUUAUCGGUGAAGGAUCGGCCCGCGUUAGAUUAGUUUGUUGGUGGGGUAAUGGCCUACCAAGACUACGAUCUAUAGCUGGUCUGAGAGGAUGAUCAGCCACACUGGGACUGAGACACGGCCCAGACUCCUACGGGAGGCAGCAGUGGGGAAUCUUGCACAAUGGGCGAAAGCCUGAUGCAGCCAUGCCGCGUGAAUGAUGAAGGCCUUAGGGUUGUAAAAUUCUUUCGCCAGGGAUGAUAAUGACAGUACCUGGU
rnacentral:rRNA from 1 species